ensembl:snRNA
GUGUUGUACGAAAGGAGAGGUUACCAUUCCUCUUGACAAGGAUGGAAGAGGUUCUUGGGCCUGACAACAUGCAUACGGUUAGGGCAUUGCCACCUACUUCGUGGCAUCUAACCACUGUUUUUA